rnacentral:rRNA from 1 species
AGCUCCAAUAGUAUAUAUUAGUGUUGUUGCAGUUAAAACGCUCGUAGUUGGAUUUUGGGCUCGCCGGCGUGGUCCGCCGCAAGGUGUGCACUGCGUAGGUGUGUCUUCCUUCCGCAGGGGCGCAUGCUCUUCACGGGGCGUGCGUUUUUAUGCGGGACUUUUACUUUGAAUAAAUAAGAGUGUUCAAAGCAGGCCUUUGCUUGAAUACAUUAGCAUGGAAUAAUGAAAUAGGACUUUGGUUCUAUUUUGUUGGUUUCUAGGACCGAAGUAAUGAUUAAUAGGGAUAGUUGGGGGCAUUAGUAUUUAAUUGUCAGAGGUGAAAUUCUUGGAUUUAUGAAAGACUAACUUCUGCGAAAGCAUUUGCCAAGGAUGUUUUCAUUAAUCAAGAACGAAAGUACGC